rnacentral:rRNA from 1 species
GACGAACGCUGGCGGCGUGCUUAACACAUGCAAGUCGAACGGUGAAGCAGAGCUUGCUCUGUGGAUCAGUGGCGAACGGGUGAGUAACACGUGAGCAACCUGCCCCGGACUCUGGGAUAAGCGCUGGAAACGGCGUCUAAUACCGGAUACGAGAUUCCACCGCAUGGUGAGUUUCUGGAAAGAUUUUUUGGUCUGGGAUGGGCUCACGGCCUAUCAGCUUGUUGGUGAGGUAAUGGCUCACCAAGGCGUCGACGGGUAGCCGGCCUGAGAGGGUGACCGGCCACACUGGGACUGAGACACGGCCCAGACUCCUACGGGAGGCAGCAGUGGGGAAUAUUGCACAAUGGGCGGAAGCCUGAUGCAGCAACGCCGCGUGAGGGAUGACGGCCUUCGAGUUGUAAACCUCUUUUAGCAGGGAAGAAGCGAAAGUGACGGUACCUGCAGAAAAAGCGCCGGCUAACUACGUGCCAGCAGCCGCCGUAAGAC